rnacentral:lncRNA from 1 species
UUACUUCCAGCUUCCUGAUAGUUUGCUUCUUGAACAAAAUAAAGGUCUCACCUGUAUACACAAGGUACCAGAUUAUUUGCACAAAAGUAAGAGAUAAGGACAUAAUUAAGGUGAUGAACUUACCUAAGAGCUCUCCAUUCAGACCCAGCUGUGCAGAGUUCAUUUGCAAAGUUAGUCGAUGUAGAGAGCUCAGAGUCAGUACCUAUAUCCUCAAAGUGAGUAUUACGGCAUAAACAAUGACCAAAACCAAAUCAAUAUCCACACAAAACAGCAAGAGAAUCACACCAUAUCCAAAUACUAGAUCACAAGGAAAUUCCCUUGUCAAAUUGAAGUUCCUUCCAGUUGCAUUAGCUUUCAAUGCAGAGAAAGUCGAAUUAUAUCAAAUUGAUGGUUGAAUGACUGUGUCCUCUUAGAGUAAGGUGAUGAGAUAUGUACAGAACAGUAGCUAUAUGAAUAGAUAUCUAUACCUGUAGCUGCAACAUUUAUGCUUCCUUGAUAUCAAAUAAGGCAAAAUUCUACCAAGUCUAGGGGAAAGUACCUGAAAAAAACAUACAACUACUUAAAUCUUGAUUACAUCAAAAUAUGAUAGCGCUAGAACAUAAAAGGUUAUAAAAGUGACAGGUUCAUUUCAGAUUUCAUUUAGGGUAAAGAAAUUUAUAUAGACACACAC